rnacentral:lncRNA from 1 species
UUAAAGAUCUCUGAUUUUAUACAAGUUGUAACUAAAUUACACGAAUUCCCAGGCAUUGAAUUUUUUCCAGGAAUAACAGUAGAGAGAAAAUGUGUUUUUGAAGAGUGAAUAUGACGUAUCGUGGUGACAAUUUUGUACGUCAAGGUGAGGUGGUGGAGUCCUCUCUCACUUUUGGCCAUACCCUCACCUUGGGGUGAUGUAACCUCCCCGGGCUAUUUGUCUGCAAGUGCCAAGGCCUUGUUUUGUGCGGCUAGUUUCCUCCGCCAUGUAAGAUGAGGGCUCGUGCUUCGAGAACGGAGCUCGCUAUUGAGGCUGCCCCGCUCUUGGAUCCCACGUUGGUGGUCUUCAUGUCCUUGUCAUUGCAGGCUUUCUACUUUUAGC